CACAAAGCAACUCCAGAUGUGAGUGCCUAUUUAGGAAAAAGAGGGUGAUGCCAAAGUUCCUUAAUUUGGGGUGAGAGUUUUUCUUCUCUUUCUCUCUCUCUCUCUUUCUUUCUUUCUUUCUUUCUUUCAAGUUUUGAAGCUCUGAUUUGGGUGGCCCUAUCAAAUCUGAGAAUGAUCUGGAGAAAUGAGGAGGAUGAAAAAUGGGUAAUGAGUGAUUUUUUUUUUUUCACCCUCAGAGGAAGUUCAAUGGAGAGAGAAGAAGCCAUUGUGGCAAGUACCUGUGGUUGCCUGGGCCGUCAGAGUCUGAACACGGUGCCCGCCAAUCAGCCCAUGAAGUGUGCCUCACGGUGUGCCUUCCUGUUCUACAGAGACACCAGCAUUGUCCGACCCAUAGCAGUUAAGUAAUAAAUAUUUGUUGGAGGGUUACAUAUUUGGAUAAAUUCCAUUUGCUCCAUGAAUAAAUCAAAACGGUAUCUCAGCAGAAUGUUCCCUGUUACUUGCAGCUGUGACUACAAGCAAAAUGCCACCGUUCUGCUUUCCACACCCAUGAGAACUACUGGGGUAUCACAGAUGAGUUCUUAUGCUGGUUCAUUUGCUGUCCCUUGACACCUUCUGACAAGCUCAUGAUUGUAAAGUUGAAACACUCAAAUCGCUACCAGAGAUCUAUUUCUUCUGGAUUCUAUGUUUCUCCUCCUUACCUAGGAUUGAACCAUCCCUCCAGAACGCCUUGAUGAUCAUUUCAUAGCUGGGUGGGAAGCAGUGCAAAGUCAACAGAAGUGACCACUUGAGCUCACUUGAGAUUCUGUGAAGAGGCUGCUCUUUGUCUACCAAAUAUCCCUUUUCUCUCUCUCUGAUAAACAAUGACAAUUUUAUGUGGGCAGCAACAAGCUGAGCAAGAAGACUACUUUUCCUAGACUUGCUUAUAGCGUGGAGUAGCCCAUGAAAUAUGAGUAGUAGUUAAUGGUGAAGUUUCCAGAAAGACUCAUCUAGGAGGUACUCCUUGGUUUUGGUUCUUCCUCCUUCAGGCUGCCUAGAACACAGAUGUGAAGGCUGUACUGUGGCAGCCAUAUUGUGACAUGGAGGUGACUUUGGGAAUGGAGCUGAGGACUAAGAAUGGUGGAACAGAAAAAGAGAAGGAGACCAAGUCUCUGAUAACUUGGCACUAUUACCCAAGACCUGAACCACCUAGCUUCAGAUUUACCUUAUGAAAAACCAACUUCCAUUUUGCUGAAGUGACUGUUUUUUGAGUUCUCUGUUAUUUGCAAGGGAAGGUACUCAUAAAUGAUGAAGACUCUUCAAGGCCAUUUCCAGAUUUGCCCAUCAUUAUGACCUCUUUUCUGCUUAUUGAGAUCGAGUUGGACUAACAUCUCGGCUGUGACACUUUCUCCAGCUGACCCUGAUUCUCCCAAUCACCCCCUUUCCUUGAUGGUGUUCAAUCUAAUAUUCCCACUGUCUAAUUUCACCCCACAGACAGUGAGCAGGAGCACAUGAGUGAAAAUAACAAUGCUAAGUACAUGACUCACUUUCCCCUCAGAUAUCAGCACACUACAAUGUAUUGAGUGGGUUUUCUCAAUAAAGACUAAAUUGAGACUAAAGACAUUCCUUGUCAAGCCCUGAAGAAUUAACAUUUUCCACCUAUACCUCUAGAAUAGUUUGGGGCUACAAUUCCGUGCACAUAUUUUUAAUACCAGGAGAAUGGAUUUUUUUUUUCCUGAUUAUUUUUUCAACUUAGCCACUGAGGAACUAUGGCAGCAGGUACCAGGAACAGGAUAUUGGGCUAGAAGGAACACCGCACUUCAGGAUUUAGCUGUCAUGGAAAAAAGAAGUUUGUCUCUUAGAGACUAGGAGAAAAGAGAAAAUGAGGCGGGCACUGUGCUAGCCUCCAAGGAUCAGAUGCAACAUUUCAGGUAACCUUGGAAGGAAGCAGAAGACCUGAAAUAAAGACAUUCAGUGGGAUGGGUGCUUGGCUGGCUCAGUCGGUAGAACACGUGA